GCUUCAAGUGAAGUUAAUCUGAGGUGAAGCAAACAGAAAAUUGUGGAGGUUUUGUUGGUGUGCAACUGAGGAACAUGGCUCAAGAAACUAAUCACAGCCAAGUGCCUAUGCUUUGUUCCACUGGCUGUGGAUUUUAUGGAAACCCUCGUACAAAUGGCAUGUGUUCAGUAUGCUAUAAAGAACAUCUUCAAAGACAGAAUAGUAGUAAUGGUAGAAUAAGCCCACCUGGUAAGUAAUUCUAGUGAAACCCGUCUAUAUUCAUAAUUGAAAUACAAGUGGAUAUUUCGGUAUACCCAAUACCUUUUUCUGCUCUCACAUUAUAUUUAUAUUACCAUAUUCAUAUCAGUAAAAUUUCUCAUUACACAUUGUGAUUAUAAUCAGUAGUGAGGAGUUAGGAAUGAGUAUCAUCACUCAUUGAAAAUACUGUAAAUUCAUACCAUAAUCUUAUUUCUGUGGCUGUGGAAUUCUGUUACUUUAUUUAGAGGGGACACCUCAAGUGUCUUGGAAAGUAAGGGAAGAGAGUGAUAAAAGA
rnacentral:lncRNA from 1 species